rnacentral:rRNA from 1 species
UACGUAGGGGGCAAGCGUUGUCCGGAUUUAUUGGGCGUAAAGAGCUCGUAGGUGGUUCGGUAAGUCGGAUGUGAAAUCUCCAGGCUCAACCUGGAGGGGUCAUUCGAUACUGCCGUGACUAGAGUUCGGUAGGGGAGUGUGGAAUUCCUGGUGGAGCGGUGAAAUGCGCAGAUAUCAGGAGGAACACCCGUAGCGAAGGCGGCAAUCUGGGCCGAUACUGACACUGAGGAGCGAAAGCGUGGGGAGCGAACAGG